AAAAAAAAAAAAAAACGACCCCUAUCUCCUGACAAUUAUUCCUUCAUCUCCACUUGUCACCGAGCAAUUACGACAGCGCAGACAGGGCCCAAUAGGAGACGCGGGGCUUUGGGAAGCCGUGCGACCGGCCAGGAACGAGGGGAGGUGAUGAAAAAAGUGCCUAAAAUGGAAAUGUGUCGCCCUGACCUGGAGCUUUUCUGCCGUUUGUGACGCACUGGAAAUACUGGCAUCAUUAGCAUUAAAUCUCUCAGAAAAACUAUCUGAAAAUGCAACUGAUCAUUGCAGGUUUUACCGCUUCUGGGCUUCCUAAUCUAAAAAUGCUCUUCAAAAAAAAACUCUCUCUCCCUAUUUCUUUCUUAAAAAUUUUUUUUUGGAAAAGGAUGUCUUUCGUCUUGCUGACCGAGUUGCUGACUGAAAGAAGCGAGUGUGCGAGAGAGUGUGUGUGUGUGUGUGUGACCGUGCGCACCAGCGUCUCUCUCACAGCCUGCGCGCGGAGCCGAGGACUCGGAUCGCGCUCCGCCAGCAGCCUCUCACUGCUCUCAUUUGAGCGCGCGGCUCACGGCAUACGCACACACACUUUCUCUCUCUCCUUCUCCUGCAUUCGGACUCCAACCGAGAGAGGAUUUAACACACGCUGCCGGCAGCGGAGGACGUCCCGAGCCCCUAAAAACGCGAGAUGUUUCUCCUCGCUGCUCCCGCAGACAGGAAUCCGCUCACAGAGACGAGAGCCACGCUCUCCCCCAGGAGAGGAGUACAAAGGCCAGUCUGCGCGCGGCAGAUGCAAAACCAAGUCCAUCUGCUGCAGGCUUCCCAUCGCCACAUGGAAAUUGAAAAGUGAGGGGAGCGUUCGCGUAGACGCCGCUGGAACGUGAGCGAGGAACCAGCUGUUGGGCUUUGGGCCGCAAGGUCAAUGAGGACAAACAAUUCCAGCAGCGGCUCUCGAGCGCUUGCAGAAGAAAGUGUCGCGUGAGGGGGGGAUGGACUCGUGUGGUGGCAGAGCUGGUGUCUCCGAGCGCUGGCAUAAUUUCCAUGGCAACCCCCUUAACUAUUAAUUUUCAAUUAAAGCAGACAUAAAACGCCCUGCCCUGAGCCUCCAGAAGGUGUCAAGAGGAGGAAACCGGGCCUUUUCGGAGCCACGACACCACUGGGCUCCUUCAUAGUGGCAAAAAUCACAUCACUGAACAUUUAAGUCCUGUUUUUAUUUCACAAUCACACCAGUGAGAACACCAAAACCACAACUGAAACUGAUGCGUGGCAAAUAUUAGUGACUAAUAGAACGAUAUUUAAGCUAUUAUGCCCCUUGGUCGAUUACCAGAGGUGUUACCUCCCCCUUGUGUCAGUUUUAAAAUCUGACAGGAUUGUCAAUUGCUAAUAAAAAGCUUUUUUUUACAAUUUUGUGGUGAAUUUAGCAACAUUGCAUGAAAUAAGGUGUACAAAUCCGAUCUGCUGCCAUUAAAUUGUACUAUGCAUUAAAUAAAAUAAAAAAUUAUAGUAUUUAAAAACUGAACUAAGUAAGUAAAGUGCACAAACUCCACUAGCAUAGUACUAUAUGAUCAUGCUUUCCUGCAUAAUUUUAGACAAUACAAAGUAGCCUCGAAAAUCUGACCAUCUGUACAUAAUACCCGGAAGCAAACCUGACCUAGAAAUAUUGCAGAAUCUUUAACAUUUCUUAGUCUUUUUUUCUAUUUUCAUUUCAUUUUAUUUCCAUUUUUAAUUCUUCCAUUUGGUUUAUACCUUAUUAGAUUAAUUUUUAAAUUGCACAUUUUCAUUGAAACCCAGUUUGGCUGGUAUUAUAUCAUCCACCCUGCUUUCUAGAUAUUGGCAGUAGCCCUUCAUCAUCAAAAAAAAACAAAAAAACUACCGGUCGACCACCAUUAAAGAUUGAGCUAACAGCAGAUUAAGCUGAGCUAGUGUGCACUCACUGAGAGUCUGAUGUGCGUUUCAGGCCUCACAGAAACGCCGGCAGCAUUAAAGCUGUUCUCUGGCUGGAGAGUUAUCCACUUGAGCUCAUCUCCGCCUCCGAUCCAUUCGGCUGAUGACUGAGCCUGUGGAACGCACUCUGAGCUCGUAAACAGCCCUAAUAAACUCUCAGCCAAGGGUCUGUCUGUAUCCUCAGUGUACACUUACUUGCACGUGAGUUUGAAACAAAAAGCGACAUUCAAACACAAAUUUAAAAGUAUCUUAGUUCUUAAUUUA